GCUCUGGUUUUGGGUUGUAGCCUGCAGAUAUUGCGCUAUCGGUGGCUCGAGCGUAAGCCUCUUGGAAUAGAGCGUAAACUUGGGUGAGAAUCCUUUGUUUCGCUCGGUGUCCGCUGUGUACGGCGCAUGUUCUCAGAGUCACGUUCCUCGGACUUGGAGCGUAAAUUAUGUGGUAAAUUUCAUCUAAAGCUAAAUAAAGGCCCAAGACCGAUAGCGAACAAGUACCAUGAGGGAAAGAUGAAAAGGACUUUGGAAAGAAAGUUAAAAGUGCUUGAAAUCGCUGGAAGGGAAGCGAAUGCAACCACACUCUCUGCUGAGAUUGCCGCGGGCGCUUGCAAGCUCUGAGCUCAAAAGCGCAAGCUCUGUGUUUGGCUGUGCGCGGGCGCUCGUGGUGUUUCUUAGUGAAGAUAUCAGGUGUCACGUACGUUCGAACAGGGCCUUGGGCAUGCAUUUGUCGCUCGUGAGCGAUAUCCUGAGCUCCGUGGGAUUCGGACAUAUGUGGCUUACUGAUUCAGUGGUUUUUUUCCACCCGUCUUGAAACACGGACCAAGGAAUCAA
rnacentral:rRNA from 1 species